UUCAUGGGGCGGCUUAAAGAUAAGUGUGGCCACUCCUUUGGAUACGGGGCUGAGCAUUUGUUGUUCUACCAAAGCCCAUAUAGCAGCUGAAGAUCGACGAACUUCGUUUGUUCGUAGGGCGGCGGCACACAGCAGAUGUAAAGGAUGGAUGGGUACAGGAUCCCCGCUUCGGGCUCGAGUGCAACCUGACGGAUCGACGAUGCAUCCUCGGAAUCAGAAGAAGAAGAGGGGAUUGGUUUCCCUGCUGGAGGUGCCGUUGCGGAGUCAAAAUCAGACGAAGAAGAUCAGAACCAGCACAACGGAAAGGCGCCUGCGAUCAACUCGAUGUGCAGCGUUAAGAAGCUUCACGAUUUGAUCGCCUCUCUUGGGGAGGAAAAAAUACAGUAUGUCGUUGAGAUGGAUUUUGGGGGGGCUGCUGGAGCUGAAUACUUUGAUGGUUGGACGCUGAAGACCAAAGGGUAGCAGAAUUGGUUCCCAAAGCUCACCACUGGAGACCAAAGGAGCAGGGUCUGCAACAGGGCAUCCAGCGGGAUCGUCGUGCUACAUUACGCAAGGCAGUGCAUGGGGACAAAGCUACAGCGGACUCUGUCUUCGCAGAUAUGAGAUGAAAUCGACCAAUCUAGGAUGAUUCUGCUUUAUGAGGUUUUGGGGCUAGCUGGAGAUAUUUGGCAACUUCCAGCGAAAUUCAGAGUUUGCCAGACCGAUCGCUGAGGAAGUGAGCAAAGUGAUAUCUUGGUAGUAAUAUUUUAAUGUCACUCUUAUCAACCACCAGACUACAAUACUCUAAUAGUGGUCUUCAGCGCAAUGCCUCUGAGAGCGAACUGCGGCAAUCGCCAUGAUCGAAAUAAGUUUCUACAGACUUCUAAUUUGCCCAAGAGACCUUUUUUAUACAUUGCUAUGCAUUGUUUAAUUCGACUCUGGUUUAUAGAGUGUUUUUGUAAGGCAGUCAAGAAUUAAUUUAGUUGGGAACAGUUAGACUGUAUUUACAUGUGUAUAUUGUAACGUUGUAUACCCUCA